GCCUUCGGGGUACACGAAGCAGACGAACGGGUGAGUAACACGUGAGUAAUCUGCCCUUCACUUCGGGAUAAAGCACCGGAAACGGUGUCUAAUACCGGAUAUGGACCUCCUUCGCAUGUUGGGGGUUGGAAAGUUCUGGCGGUGGAGGAUGUGCUCGCGGCCUGUCAGCUUGUUGGUGGGGUAAUGGCUCACCAAGGCUUCGACGGGUAGCCGGCCUGAGAGGGUGACCGGCCACACUGGGACUGAGACACGGCCCAGACUCCUACGGGAGGCAGCAGUGGGGAAUAUUGGACAAUGGGCGAAAGCCUGAUCCAGCAGCGCCGCGUGAGGGAUGACUGCCUUCGGGUUGUAAACCUCUUUCAGUAGGGACGAAGCGCAAGUGACGGUACCUACAGAAGAAGCACCGGCCAACUACGUGCCAG
rnacentral:rRNA from 1 species